CUCAGCAUGUAGUGUGGCAGUUUGCUGCAAAGGUCAAAGAAAUUGGUCACUGAAGAGGGAUUUCUAAAAACAAAAGAAAAAAAGAAAACAUCAAAUCUCCUCAUUUACAGUUCUUUCAGUAACAAUUCUACAUCUCAUUGUCAACUCCUGUUAAAUAAUCUGCAGGAAAGGCCACAAUUAAGUGAUAUUCUUCUUAAUGUGUUAUAGAAAACAAGAAACUUACUCCUCUCUAAAAAUAUCCUAAAUAGAAGAAGGUGGUGUCUGUAUGAUGCCAUGUUCCUGUUCAGUCUAUUAAACCUUCUCUGGGGAUCUAUUGUUAUGGUUUCAAAAUCCUAAUUAGUCUCAAAAGCCAUGUCAAUCAACCAGCUGCAAAACAAAAUGGUUCACCAAUGUUA